GUUCAUUGACACCGCUGCGUAGCGAGACUCUUAAUGUCCCCAUUGCGAAGAGCGGGAAACUGAGGCACGGAGUAGUAGGGGAGCUCGGGGGGGGGGUGGGGGCGGGGAGUGGGCUCAGCUGGGAGGUCUGAGCCCCAGAGGCGACCCCUGGGGCUUACUUAUCUCAGGCGCCCAGGCUCCAGCCCAGAUAAGAGCCGAGUCGGGGGAGCACGGGAGGCGGGCAGGGCCCCCCCGAGGGCCCCCCACUUCUCGGAGGUCCCCGGGGGGUGGGGCUGGAGUCCUGGUCCUGAGUGGGGGGGUGCGUGGACAGCCCCUCCCCCUCCCCUGUGGCUCUCGGCCGUGCCAUCUGCUCUGCCCCCCCCCCCCCAUCGCAGACCGGCUCUGGGAUUCCCCAGCCCGAGGGAUGGGCGCGGGAGAGCCGCCCCCACCCCAGGGCCGGAGUCCCGCCCGCGCCCUGCAGGGACCCAGCCCUCCGGCCCCGGGGCUGCGUGUGGCCUAAUGGCAGCAGGUGGCAGGGAGGCCUCCCCCUUCAGGCUGUUAGACACCCCACCCCGGCUGCUUCCCCGCCCCCCGCGGGGAGGGACAGACCUCUGCCCGCGGAGGGGGCGUGGGGAGCCCCAGGUGAGCAGGGCAGGGGAGGCGCCCACAGAGGGGCCAGUGCCGAACAGGCCCCUCCGCACCAGAGAGCCCAACAGAUCAGCAUGCACCCCGGGGGGUCGCGACCCGGCAGCCCCAGGAGGGAGCUGGGAAUUGAUACAGACUUGCUGGCUCCACUGGGGUGGGCAGCAGGCCCAGGUUCCAGCUGCCUCCUGGCUGUGUGAUCUUAGUCGCACCUCCGGGCCUUUGCACUGGCUGUUCCCGCUGCCUGAACCGCCCUCCCCGGGUCACCCCAUGGCCGGUGCCUUCUCCCGACUCAAACUGGAACGUCCGCCCCUCGGAGCGCCCCCCCACGACCUCCCAGAGUCCCCAUCACCCCAUCACGCCGCCCUCCUUUAUCUCCAUCGAAAGGCUUCUGUUUCAAAACAGCUCUAUUUACUUAACCUACUUGGCCCUGCUGGCGGCUGGGUCCCCAGCCUUGAGGCUGGCCUGGUACACAGUGGAGCUCAAUACAUGUUGUUUGAUGGAUGAAUCCGUGUGUCCCCGCCCCUCCUCCUUCCUCCCACGGGAUUUUGGGUGUCUGUCUACACAGAGGUGCAGGGCAAACCGAACUACUCGCCAUCUCGGUGUCCCAAAGCAAAAAA
rnacentral:lncRNA from 1 species